AGGGAAGGUUUAAGGAAAAACGCUUGAAAAUGCUGCAGUGGCCACAGAAACAGAAACCUUCCUUCCCUCCAGCUCUCGUUGUGAUCUCAGUGGCUGGAAAGUCAGAGGUUUUGUGUAUGUUGUUUAGGAUGCUGACUUUAUUUAGGUAUAAUCCAUGUGAUAAAAUUCACCAAUUUUAAAUGUACAAUUUGGUGAGUCUUGGCAAAUGUAUGGAGUUGUCUGUUCACCUAUCUGGCAUGACAGACUAUCUCUAAAUGAUUGCUAAGUUCCUUGUCCCUCUGGGGGGGGGUCACCUCUCCCUUUAGUUCCUUCUCCCUGGUAACCUUUGAUUUGCUGUUAUUCUUGUCAGGACAUACAUUUAUGUAUGUAUGUAUGUAUGUGUGUGUGCUUUGCCUGCAUGUACAUCUAUGAAUACCAUGUGUGGCUGAUGUUCUCAGAGGCCAGCAGGGAACUGGCAUCCCUGAAACUGGAAUUACAAAAGGUUAUGAGGGGGCCACUUGGAUUCUGGGAAUCGAACCUGGGACCUCGGGAAGAGCAGCCAAUACUCUUAAAUCACUGAGCCAUCUCUCCAGCACCCUGGCCAUGUCUUUAAAUAACUGCAUGUAAAGAGGACCUGAAGUGUAUAGUCUUCUAGGUCCUGCCUUUUGCUAUUUUGAAGACAGUUAGUUGCCUGUGCUGCUGCUGCUGCUGCUGUUGCUGCUGCUGCUGCUGCUGCUGCGGCCGCUUGCAUCCAUAGCUGGUUCUUUCGCUGCUCCACGAGCUGCUCAUCCACCCACUUAGCAGCCAAUGGACAUUUGUUAUAAAUGUUUGUCACAGACAUCAAUUCGGCCAUCAGCAGUUUCCUCCGUUGUGUGCUUGGGGGAAUACCGGUUGACGCAAUGGUUGGCUGGUGCAGAGGACUCACUUUCCAGGGAACUGGGAACUGUCUGCAAAGUUUCAAGGGCUAUUUUGUACUCCGGCUAGCUAGCCCUUGGUGUCAUUAACAUUUACAUUUUAAUAAGGUCAAUGACCUUAUAGAGCUGCUUCUUAAUUUAAUUAGUAAUUGCCUAGUGACCAAUCAUCUGGGAGAGGGAGGACUGGGGAGGCUUGAGUCAGGACCUCAGGAGAGGCGAGUUAAGUGCUCUCCCGCUGGCUCUAUCGCCAGCUGACUCGUGCUUUUAUGGCCUCAUUCAUCUUCUUGAGAAGGCCAGGUUGGCUUGAGCCUCUCCUGGUCCUUAGCCUCUUGAAUGCUGGGAUCACACACAGGGACCACAAACCCAGUGUAAAAUCUACUUGGAUGAAGGGUCUUUUCAGGUCACUAUUAGGCUAUUUUGAAAAUGAAGUUGUUGGGCUUGGAGAGAUGGCUCAGCGGUUAAGAGCACUGACUGCUGCUCUUCCAGAGGUCCUGAGUUCAAUUCCCAGCAACCCCAUGGUGGCUCCCAACCAUCUGUAAUGGGUAUCUGAUGCUACCUUCUGGUGUCUCUGAAGACAGCAACAGUAUAGCCAUAUACAUUAAAUAAAUAAAAUAAAAUAAGUAAAUAAAAGAAAAUGAAGUUGUUCCUUGGUUUUGACUUAGCUAUUUUUUUUAAAAUAAUGUUCUGCAUUUGCUCUUCUCAUCAGUUCUCUCCAGUCUUUUCUGCAGGUGUCCCCCUGCCUCACUUUCUCCAAAGCACACUUUUAGGUAGAGGCUUGACUUCCUCCAGCUGCCUCACCUCAGGGCAGCUCGCCUCAGGGCUGGGGAGCGAGCCUUGAGCGGAGAACUCAGGUCAGCUCUCCUUCCCACAGUCCCCCGCGGCAUCCAUAUGGUUGCGCAUGCCCAAGUUCAAGGGUCCCAUUCCUGCGGGACUCAGACACAGUGCGAGCUUGACUCACUAUGGAGGAUCGUUAGGGCUUCCCGGUGAUGCACUGUGGCUGAAAUGUCGGAGAGGCAGGGAAACGGGUAAUCAAACCGGAAGCAGAACAACUAGCAGAGAAUUCGGGGUCGCUUAGAACCCUGUUUUUGGUGAGGCUUGAUGUGAGAAAUACCGCUCUCAGGAGAUUUCCUGUAAGGCCAUCGUAGACAGCCUUAACAGCCCCAAAGGCCUUCUAGUAGACCUUGCCUGUUAAAGUGUCCUAACCCUGCAACUGGAGAGACAGCUCAGCACUUAAGAGCCCUUGCUGCUCUGCCAGAGCGCUCAAGGACAUUUACCGUCACAAGAUGCUCUUAACUCCGGCUCCAGAGAAUCUGAUGUCCUUUCUGGCCUUCACACACAACUGCACAUGCACAUUUGCAUGCGCGCAUGCAU
rnacentral:lncRNA from 1 species